rnacentral:lncRNA from 1 species
CGAGAUACUAGCAUGGCCAUCUCGGUCAGUUAUUUCUCAAGCUCUACUGAAUAAUAUUCUCUUUUUUUUUCAUUUAUUUCUCUACUUGUACGCUUUACAUGAUAAUCGAUAGCUCUCCCUACUUCAUAAACUGCUGUUUUAUCUUUCCACGCUCUCUCUAUCACCUGUUCUCUCCUGUGCAAAACAUAUACCGUUUACUAGUUUUAUUGCUUUUUUCCUUCCCUCCUUCUUUCUUUCCAUUUUCUUUCACAUUUAGUUUCCUUUUCUCGUGUCUUUAUUUUCAUUUGCUUUUACUUGUUUAUUAUUAUUAUUUUUUUGUAAAUAAUGCAAAGAUUAAAUACACUGCAAUCAUCUGAUUUAGUUUACAGUGUAAUAAUGGAAUAUUACGUUGCGCUUUGCUUUUUAAUCUCGCAUCAAAUGAUUGCAAUGUUUCUAUAGUUUUAUGGCUGCUGUUUAUUAUAAAUAAAGCUUAGCACAAAGAAACUAGUAGUAUUGAAUAACAUUUCACGAUGAAUAACAACUCGACUUCUUGUCAUGAGUACUUGUGAGGGACUCAAGGAAAUCUACUGCAAUUCUGCUACAAGAGAGACGCAAUAGGCGCAACAUACUGAGCGGACGGUCAGUGUAGCGUUGCAGAAGUGUCAUCAAACAAAUAAAAUCAGACACACUCAGAUAACAAACCAAGCGUUUCAUCAUCUUAUUACUGCAAAAUACAUUGAUACACACGCGCGCGCGCACACACACGUACGCACGCACAUACACACACAUACACGCGCGCACACACACAUGCGCGUCGCGCUCACACACACACAUAGAUCGAUAAACAGAAAUAUAUAUAUAUAUAUAUAUAUAUAUAUAUAUAUAUAUAUAGUUGAAUUUCAAUGAAACAUAUGCUAAGUGAAUUUCAAAUGCUUAUAAGUUUAGUGUCGAAAAUAUAAAGCUUUCAGAAUGAAGAAUAACUAAUCAAUAUGCAAACUACUGAGUAACGCAAACGAAACAAGUUUAUAAGCGUUGUUUAAUACACGCACACUCACACACGCACACAAACACUCGCACGUACAUAGGUACAAAUGCACAUGCAUACACAUGCAUACAUAUACACGCAUACACAUAUAGGUUCACACACAAGAAAAGUGAAAAAAAAUGUUUUUGAAGAUAUUCUAAAGCAAAACAUCUUGAAACGUAUCUGUGAAAAGAAUUAUAUUUAGCUUGCUUUGUGCAUUCAUUUCAACAGCUUCUAGGACUUCCGCGACAGCAACACUUCCUCCCUCCGAAAGAAGGAUAUACCUGCAAAGGUGGAUCAGGCCUACGUUCCUGUCUACUAUCUUACAAUGAUUGCUAUCUGCAAUAUGGCAUAUCCACCCUUGAAAAACACAGUUGAAACGAAGCAAACCAGAUAAUGUUAAUGUUUUAUUCAGCUAUUUUCUCUUUCCAUCAUAAUUGCGAACGAACAAUAGAAAUGUUUUUUGAUACAUGAACACUGAACGUAAAUCUGCGCCUUUACUAGAUUGUUAUAAACCUAUUCAUUGUAGAUCGGCAGUUAUUUAGAUUCAUUUCAACACAAAUAUAUGGACACAACCAUAAAAUCUGAAGUUAUAUGUUGCAGGUAAGUCUUUCUUGGUUAUACUGUUUGCACAUUAUCAAUUGUUUUGCAAGCAUAUUUUAAUACUUCUAAUUUCAUCAUCCUCAUCAAUAGCAAAAACGACGACGACAACAAUAAUAAUGAAAGCAAAAUGACUACUACUACUACUACUACUAUUACUACUACUACUACUACUACUACUACUACUACUACUACUACUACUACUACUGUUUAUAAAUCUAAGUAUACAGAAGUAAAUAAAAACCAAUUUUUCAAGAUUUAAGUGUCUAUGCCCUGUGAUAAUAAUAAUGGUUUUCAACUCUGGCACAAAGCUAAGAAUUUUGGAGGGAGGGUGUUACUCGAUUACAUGAUACUUAUUUUCUCAAUGCCGAAAAGACGAAAGGCAAAGUCGGCUUCGGCGGAAUUUGAACUCAAAACGUAUAGAUCCAGAAGAAAUGCUGCUAAGCAUUUUGUCCAACGCGAUAAGAAUUCUAUCUUAAUAAUGAUGAUAACGGUUUUAAAUUUUGACACAAGGCUAUCAAAUUUUAGUGAAUAGUUAAGUCGAUUACAUCGACACUAGUAUACAACUGUUACUUAUUUUAUCGACAUCCGAAAGAGUGAAAGGAAAAAGUCGACUCUGAUGGCAUUGGAAAUCAGAUCGCUAAGCAUUUUGUCCGGUGCGCAACGAUUCUUCCCAUUACAACAACAAUAACAAUGAACGUUGUGGGAAGGGGACUUGUCGAUUACAUCAAUCCCAGUGUUUCACUGGUACUUAAUUUAUCGACCCCGAAAGGAGGAAAAGGAAAAUCGACCUCGGCGGAAUUUGAACUUAGAACGUAGCGACAGAUGAAAUAACAUUAAGGAUUUCGCCCAGCAUGCUAACGAUUCUGCCAUCUCACUACCUUAAUAAUAAUAAUAAUAAUAAUAAUAAUAAUAAUAAUAAUAAUAAUAAUAAUAAUAAUAAUAAUAAUAAUAAUAAUAAUAAUCUCAACAACACUAAUGAAAUGAAAGUAGAAUUAUGAAUGUUAGUGUAAAAUUACAGAAAAUGUAAAAUGAAAUAUUUUCUAACAGUAUAUUCUUUUCAAAAAUCAAGUCAAAGCAUUCACACACACACACUAACUCGCACAAAAACACAGACGAUAUUUAUGUAUGCAUAUGUGUGUGCGAGUGUGCAUGUUAUUACUCAAUAUAAAUAAUUAUCGAGUGGCUGUGUGGUAAGUAGCUUCCUUACCAACCACAUGGUCCCGGGUUCAGUCCCACUGCGUGGCACUUUGGGUAAGUCUCCUCUACUAUAGCCUCGGGUCGACCAAAGCCUUGUGAGUGCAUUUGGUAAAUGGAAACUGAAAGAAGCUCGUCAUAUAUAUGGAUAUAUAUGUGUGUGUAUGUGUGUGUAUAUGUUUGUGUGUCUGUGUUUGUCCCCCCAACAUUGCAUGACAACUGAUGCUGGUGUGUCUAGCGGUUCAGCAAAAGAGACCGAUAGAAUAAGAACUAGGCUUACAAAGAAUAAGUCCUGGGUUCGAGUUGCUUGAUUAAAGGCGGUACUCCAGCAUGGCCGCAGUCAAAUGACUGAAACAAGUUAAAGAAAAAGAAAAAAAUCACAUUAUCCUGUAUAAUACAGGACAAUUUCUUCCACAUAGAGAAAUAAACUUAAAUUUUCUUGCACGAAUUCAUUCCUUCAACGAAAGUGUCAGGUCCAUGUGAGGCGCCAAAUAGGAGUACACCUACCUCCAAACACACAUUAUGUUCAUGCGUGUAUGUGUCUAAACAUAUGUGUGUGCGCACUCGCGUGUGUAUAUAUAUAUAUAUAGUUAAUAUAAAGAUAUACAAGUAUAAAUAUACAUUAUACAUACAUACAUAUAUAUAUAUAUAUAUAUAUAUGUAUAUAUAUAUAUAUAUAUAUAUUUACAAAUAUAAUCAUAUAUGAUAUAUAUAUAUAUAUAAUAUAUACACAUAAAUAUGCAUGUAUAUAUAUAUAUAUAUAUAUUUAAAAAUAGGAUAAAAUCUGUAUAAGAAAUUAUCGAGUAGUUAGCGUAAAAAAAUCUCAUAAGGGAAAACUUUAUUAAUUAUUCCCUUUAAAUAUAUUUAAUUAUAUUAAAGGUAUUUAUGUAUAGUAAUGCUCUUAAUAUAUAUAUAUUAUAUACAUUACAUUAUUCUUGUAAUUUACUUAAUCUUUACUUUUUAAUUGUUAUUUUAUUUUUUUUUUAUUUAAACUUUUCUAUUAUAUGUAAUUUUCUAGAUGGUGUAAUUUAAUUAUUCAUUUUGAAUUGAUAAAAGGUGGGUUUUUUCUAACAUUUUAUAUAUAUUAUAUUGUGUGGAAUUUGAUUUAGUAUUUCUAAAUUGAAUUAUUUUUCUUUGUAAGUUUGGAUUUUAUUCCCUCAAAUAAUAAUUAUUAUAUAUAUAUAUAUAUAUAUAUAUAUAUAUGUGUGUGUGUGUGUGUAUACAUAUAUAUAUGUAUGUAUAUAUGUAUAUAUAAAUAUACAUAUAUAAGUACAUAUAUAAUACACACACACACAUAUAUAUACAAACACCCAAAUAUAAGCAUACCUCUCUAUCUAUCUAUCUAUCUAUCUAUCUAUCUAUCUAUCUAUCUAUCUAUCUAUCUAUCUAUCUAUCUAUCUAUCUAUUUGUCUCUCUCUCUCUCUCUCUCUCUCUAUAUAUAUAUAUAUAUAUAUAUAUAUAUAUAUCCAUACACACACACGCUCACACACAUAAAUGCAAAGUAUAUUCACUUUGAAAAAGUAUGGAACAUUUUCAGACUGUAAGAUAUUUCCUCAUUUACUAUUGUAGUCGGAUCCUUCUGCCAUUAUACAUAGUAAAUCCUUGGCAAAUACCAGCAGAAAACAUUCGUUUUCUGCAGAGAUGCCGAGUCCUAAAAUCUCAUAGACACUAGCCUUUAGAGCAGAGGUGAGUAAGCAGAUACCUGGAGAAGUUACCACUUAGUAUCAUGUCAUCAGUGAGAUGUUCAUUGCCGCGUAUAGCUAGCUUCUGAAAUAAUAAACUAUUGUGGAAUUGAUGAAAGAUGAGUUAAAAUAUUUCCAGGUGAUAAAUUUACCGCCUGUCCUAUUCUAAGGGCCGUUGUGUCCUUAUACAUAGGUCUAGGAGGAACUCGGAUAUUUUGUUAUUUUACAUUUGUGUCUGUUUACCUAAUAGCAGCAAGCUCAGUUAUUGAUUUCAUAUUAUUUGUUAAGUAUCAUACAUGAGUUUACUGGAAUAUUACCGAAAUACUACAAAGAUAUCUUAGAGAUAAUUCUAAAAUACAUUUCAAAAUUUCUUGCGUUUAAUAGUUUAACAACGGUUAAUUAAAUGUAUAUGUAAGUGUACACGAAUUCUUUGAUAUAUGUAUAGAAUUGCUUCCAGUUAGAUAAUAAACAUAUGAGAUUGUAAUCGUGUAUGUAUGUAUCUCUAUCAAUCUAUAUUA